AGCAGCCGCGGUAAUUCCAGCUCCAAUAGCGUAUAUUAAAGUUGUUGCAGUUAAAAAGCUCGUAGUUGAAUUUCGGGACCAAUCUGCCGGUCGUGCCUCCGGUAUACACUGGUUUUAUUGGUUUCUCCCUUCUGACGAAUCAUGAUGUCAUUAAUUUGGUGUCAUGGGGAAUCAGAACUGUUACUUUGAAAAAAUUUAGAGUGUUUAAAGCAGGCUCACGCUUGAAUACAUUAGCAUGGAAUAAUGAAAUAGGACGUUUGACCCUAUUUUGUUGGUUUCUAGGAUCGACGUAAUGAUUAAUAGGGAUAGUUGGGGGCAUUAGUAUUCAAUUGUCAGAGGUGAAAUUCUUGGAUUUAUUGAAGACUAACUACUGCGAAAGCAUUUGCCAAGGAUGUUUUCAUUAAUCAAGAACGAAAGUUAGGGGAUCGAAGACGAUCAGAUACCGUCGUAGUCUUAACCAUAAACUAUGCCGACUAGGGAUCGGAUGAUGUUAAUUUUUUAAUGACUCAUUCGGCGCCUU
rnacentral:rRNA from 1 species